GAUGAACGCUGACAGCAUGCUUAACACAUGCAAGUCAACUUGAACUUCGGUUUGGGUGGCGGACGGGUGAGUAACGCGUAAAGAACUUGCCUCACAGCUAGGGACAACAUUUGGAAACGAAUGCUAAUACCUGAUAUUAUGAUUUUAGGGCAUCCUAGAAUUAUGAAAGCUAUAUGCGCUGUGAGAGAGCUUUGCGUCCCAUUAGCUAGUUGGAGAGGUAACGGCUCACCAAGGCGAUGAUGGGUAGCCGGCCUGAGAGGGUGAACGGCCACAAGGGGACUGAGACACGGCCCUUACUCAUACGGGAGGCAGCAGUGGGGAAUAUUGGACAAUGGACCAAGAGUCUGAUCCAGCAAUUCUGUGUGCACGAUGAAGUUUUUCGGAAUGUAAAGUGCUUUCAGUUGGGAAGAAAAAAAUGACGGUACCAACAGAAGAAGUGACGGCUAAAUACGUG
rnacentral:rRNA from 1 species